CCCCCUUGGCAGCCCCUGGGCUGCAGCCUGCAGUGCUGCCUUAGACCGCGCUGAGCUCUGCCGGGCUCCCUCCUCUCCUCUCCUGCUCGGGGUUUUACCUUCCACGGGGCUUCCAAAUGUCAGACUCCCUGCUCAACCACUCCUGGCCGUCGUUUUCCAAGCGCUGGAAGAAGAGAUGGUCCUUUAAGCGAGGAUCCGACUGCAAGCCACGCUUACGGGAAUUCACUGACCACAGCAACCCUGCUUUGGAGUAUCCCAACCCCAAAAGCUUCCUCCCGUCCCUGAUAGCUGAGGAUGACACCUUCUGCACCAGUAUGGCUGAAGAAAAGGAGGACUCAUCUUCCAUGGAGUUGGAUGUCCCAGCAGCAGACAUGCACAGCAGCACAGAGGAUCUCCUCUCAGACUCUGCUCUCCACGGGUCGGAGUAUUACAGAGACCUGGGACUCCUGAGCCCACCAGUUGCCAAAACAGCACCAGAGGCGGCAGCGCAGCCAGAACAAGCAGCGCAGGCUGUGUCUGCUGUCCGCUUAUUGGAGGAGAGACCAAGGGCUCUGAGCAAAAUGUCUGUGGAUGUUGCUUUUUCCAACCCUGUUUCCUCCUCGGUACGUUACGGCGAGGCCGACUGCCGCUUUCUGAACAAAGGCCACGUUUGCUCCUGCGCAACGGUGCCAGAAGAUGGUACCAGCACUUCUGAGUGUCCUGCAGAGGCAGACAAAGAGCUGGACCUGCAGGAGGCCAAAGACUUCUUCCCCACGCUGGUGAGAUCCAUGUCUACCUCUCGGAGGCACAGCUGGGAGAGCCCUUUGUCACCCGUGGACUGCAAGCGCAGGUUCAGCCUGGAUACCACAGAGAUGGGCAGCGACCCAGAGCAGGAGGAUGUGGAGAAGGGGAGCCAGUCCUGCCCGCCGCCUCGUGUGUCCCUUCAGCUGCCCAAAGGGGAACUGGAAAGCUGGCGAGGGGGUGGCAUGGUGAUCAAAGUGGAGAUAGAGCCAUUGCACCCCAACCUCACUGUCAGCCCCGGCUCGGAGGAGGCGGAACGUGGCAGCAAUGGGAAGAGACUGAGGUCAAAGUCUGUCCCAUCAGCCUGUGAGACAGUUGCCUCCCCUCAGAUACCCUGCAGUUUUGACACUUCUCUUCCAGCCGUGGAAGGUGUUGAACCCCCUGCUCUGGAGAUGCUGGAGAAGGACCACGUGUCCCCAGACCACGUGUAGGUAUUGUCAGUCCUGGCUGUUUUGAGAUGGCAGAGAUUCUUCAGUCUAUCUGAGCUACUGGAGAUGCAAUAGCAAAGGAGAUCCCACUCCAUGCUGGGGCACAGCUGAGCAGUUGGUUGUAAGCCAGCGCCUGAUGCUUUGUGGGGUGCAGAAUAUCUUUGCAAAGACAAUUUUCUAAUCCCUUGCUUUUCUUUUGCCCCAUCCCUGGUAGGCUAAUUGUCCAGCAGGUACUUCAGGAGCUGAAACAAUAUCAUGGGUAAGUGUGUGUGGGAGAGGGAUGUGGGUGGGGAUGUCACGGGUCUGCCCAGGACCCACCUGGCAAGUGACACUUGGUCCCCUGAACUGCAAAUCUCCAGCGUGCCAGAAUCUCUGUAUUUUCCCAGUGAAACCAGGGUAGAAUUGCACAGAGAAGUGGCAAUUCCUGUGCCUCUUCUCUAACUCUAAACAAGUUUGGGCCCAUCUCCAAAAAUGGGCUUUUCCGCUGACCCAGAAGUUCCCUCUUGUGUUCUUUGCUGAGUGUCUGAAGUCUUUUUCCUGCACAGGGCGAAGCAGGGAGUUUGUGUGCCAGAAGGCAGCGAUUCUUCCCAGCAGAACCUCACCUGGUUUGAGUUCCUGUCCAACGAGUAAGUGAGCCAGGUGGUUGCCCACACACUUUGUGCUCCCAGAGCGGACUGAUUUUGAGCCCCCCUCCUCCAUGUAAGCUCUACUGCCCUGCGAAUCCUGUGUGCAACUGAUUUCGA
rnacentral:lncRNA from 1 species